AUGAGAGCAAGUUUUUCAAAAUGUCACUUAGGUAAAGUGAAAGUUCACACAUUGAGACACACAAAUAUCAUCUUUUGAGGACCGUGGACAGCCUCAGCUUCAUCAUGGCAGGACGCCUGCUGUUUGUCUUCCUCAUGUCUCUUCUUCCACCUAAUAGCGUCACCAGCUGUGAUUACAGUUUGGGAAGUGAACCAAACUCUUUGUCUCCUCGUAGUGAUGGAUACAGCUUGACUGAGAAGAUGACGUUGAUGAUUGGAGCAGUCGUGACUGUGGGAGUCGUCUUGCUCGGA